rnacentral:rRNA from 1 species
GAUGAACGCUGGCGGCGUGCCUAAUACAUGCAAGCCGAGCGAACGGACGAGAAGCUUGCUUCUCUGAUGUUAGCGGCGGACGGGUGAGUAACACGUGGAUAACCUACCUAUAAGACUGGGAUAACUUCGGGAAACCGGAGCUAAUACCGGAUAAUAUUUUGAACCGCAUGGUUCAAAAGUGAAAGACGGUCUUGCUGUCACUUAUAGAUGGAUCCGCGCUGCAUUAGCUAGUUGGUAAGGUAACGGCUUACCAAGGCAACGAUGCAUAGCCGACCUGAGAGGGUGAUCGGCCACACUGGAACUGAGACACGGUCCAGACUCCUACGGGAGGCAGCAGUAGGGAAUCUUCCGCAAUGGGCGAAAGCCUGACGGAGCAACGCCGCGUGAGUGAUGAAGGCCUUCGGAUCGUAAAACUCUGUUAUUAGGGAAGAACAUAUGUGUAAGUAACUGUGCACAUCUUGACGGUACCUAAUCAGAAAGCCACGGCUAACUACGUGCCAGCAGCCGCGGUAAUACGUAGGUGGCAAGCGUUGUCCGGAAUUAUUGGGCGUAAAGCGCGCGUAGGCGGUUUUUUAAGUCUGAUGUGAAAGCCCACGGCUCAACCGUGGAGGGUCAUUGGAAACUGGAAAACUUGAGUGCAGAAGAGGAAAGUGGAAUUCCAUGUGUAGCGGUGAAAUGCGCAGAGAUAUGGAGGAACACCAGUGGCGAAGGCGACUUUCUGGUCUGUAACUGACGCUGAUGUGCGAAAGCGUGGGGAUCAAACAGGAUUAGAUACCCUGGUAGUCCACGCCGUAAACGAUGAGUGCUAAGUGUUAGGGGGUUUCCGCCCCUUAGUGCUGCAGCUAACGCAUUAAGCACUCCGCCUGGGGAGUACGACCGCAAGGUUGAAACUCAAAGGAAUUGACGGGGACCCGCACAAGCGGUGGAGCAUGUGGUUUAAUUCGAAGCAACGCGAAGAACCUUACCAAAUCUUGACAUCCUUUGACAACUCUAGAGAUAGAGCCUUCCCCUUCGGGGGACAAAGUGACAGGUGGUGCAUGGUUGUCGUCAGCUCGUGUCGUGAGAUGUUGGGUUAAGUCCCGCAACGAGCGCAACCCUUAAGCUUAGUUGCCAUCAUUAAGUUGGGCACUCUAAGUUGACUGCCGGUGACAAACCGGAGGAAGGUGGGGAUGACGUCAAAUCAUCAUGCCCCUUAUGAUUUGGGCUACACACGUGCUACAAUGGACAAUACAAAGGGCAGCGAAACCGCGAGGUCAAGCAAAUCCCAUAAAGUUGUUCUCAGUUCGGAUUGUAGUCUGCAACUCGACUACAUGAAGCUGGAAUCGCUAGUAAUCGUAGAUCAGCAUGCUACGGUGAAUACGUCCCCGGGUCU